AAGUAGAGGCGCAGGGCAUAAGGUAUCAUACGAAAAGUGGACGGAGCGGUUCAAAAAAACGUAUGUGAAUGUAUGCUUUGCCGAAAGAGAGGUCUUUCGCUCACGGCUUUUCUUGGGUGCAGUCCCCAGCGGUCUGUAACUGUCAUCUUUAUUUCGUAACGAUGAUGCGCUAUG
rnacentral:ncRNA from 1 species